rnacentral:rRNA from 1 species
AGUAACACGUGAGUGACCUGCCUUUUAGACUGGAACAACUUACCGAAAGGUGAGCUAAUGCCGGAUGAGUUAUAUAAGUGCAUGUUUAUAUAGGAAAAGUUGGGGAGACCUGACGCUGAAAGAUGGACUCGCGUCCCAUUAGCUAGUUGGUAGGGUAAUGGCCUACCAAGGCGACGAUGGGUAGUCCGGCCUGAGAGGGUGGCCGGCCACACUGGGACUGAGACACGGCCCAGACUCCUACGGAAGGCAGCAG